rnacentral:rRNA from 2 species
GAGUUUGAUCAUGGCUCAGAGCGAACGCUGGCGGCAGGCUUAACACAUGCAAGUCGAGCGGGCGUAGCAAUACGUCAGCGGCAGACGGGUGAGUAACGCGUGGGAACGUACCUUUUGGUUCGGAACAACACAGGGAAACUUGUGCUAAUACCGGAUAAGCCCUUACGGGGAAAGAUUUAUCGCCGAAAGAUCGGCCCGCGUCUGAUUAGCUAGUUGGUGAGGUAAUGGCUCACCAAGGCGACGAUCAGUAGCUGGUCUGAGAGGAUGAUCAGCCACAUUGGGACUGAGACACGGCCCAAACUCCUACGGGAGGCAGCAGUGGGGAAUAUUGGACAAUGGGCGCAAGCCUGAUCCAGCCAUGCCGCGUGAGUGAUGAAGGCCCUAGGGUUGUAAAGCUCUUUUGUGCGGGAAGAUAAUGACGGUACCGCAAGAAUAAGCCCCGGCUAACUUCGUGCCAGCAGCCGCGGUAAUACG